UUUGGAAGAAGCUUAGUUGUUCUUAGGACUACGUUCACAGCGCAGCCAAUUCCGACAUGGAUGUCGGAAUAGAUGCAAACAGCCAUGGAUGGCUGAUUUUGCAUCGGUGGCGGACAUUAUCAAUAGGUAUGCCGGAGCCCUUAGAACACCUUGCUUCGCACAAU
rfam:Firmicutes bacterium CAG:882 genomic scaffold, scf560